AAAACACUGGACCCACACCCUUCAACAAAAAAUUUAAUUCCUAUAGACUAAACUUCAAAUACCACUUGUGUGAUUUUCGCACUUUCUUAGUUUAGUACCAUAUAGUUUAAAAUGUGUUAAAUUAGUGUCCUGUAAUUUCAUUUUUAUCUUUUCGUCAACUUUUUUGUUAAUAUUUUAUUAAAUUAUAUAUAAAAAAUUUCAGAUAUUCUAUUUAGGUUUAUUAAAUAUUCACUUUAGUACCCUUUAGUUUCAACUUUGUUACUGAUUUAACGAAAAAAAUAAUGAAAUCAAUAAUAAAAGGAUAAAAAUAAAAUCACAUGACACUAAAUUGCUAUACUUUAAAUCACAUGAUAUUAUAGUGAGAAAGUAUGAAACUACAGAAAUGAUAUAUGAAGUUUUUCCUUU
rnacentral:lncRNA from 1 species